AUAAGUUGUUCCAUUUUUCUUCUUCACCCAGUGAAGAGGAAAAGAACUCACCUCAACACGCAUACGUGUUGAGAACUGUCAAAGUGGAAUGUUUACGUUUAGCUGUGGACUACUGUUAAUUUUUUCUAGCCAGUUCAAAUAUUAUGGAAUGUUACGACAGUAACUGUUUCAUUUGCUAAAAAUUUCCGUGGUACCUGUCGCUCAACAAGAUUCUGGUGGUUCAUUUAACGAUUCGUUAUCCAUUGGCCGGUUGGAAGGUUAAUCUGCUGCGAAGGAAAUUUCACACAAAGGAGUUAGUUAUUCUUUUAUGUGAGUUUUAACAAUAUUAGCUCACACUCCGCUUUUCACAUACUCGUGUGUCGGUUAUGCGAGCUGGUUUCACAACGAGAAAAUAUCACAGGGGAUGCAGACCGUCUCGUUCGGCAAUCAUCCGCUACUGCGACUAUUCAAUUAAUUGAAUAAAGAUUGACUUUCCUUUCAUAAACAGCGUUCCAGGACCAAUUCCUGCCGCUAUAUUUUCAAUCGGUGGAUAUCGUACGGGUCUAUCCCGAUUUUUGGUGUACAGUUUGUUACUGCCCUCUCUUGGCUGGGCUAUAAAUCGACUCAUUGAUGUACGUUUGCCAUCAAUAGUAAACGAGCUGCUUUAAUUCAACAACCGUUUUGAAGAUAAUCGUUUCGUUUCAGGGUUCGAACCACAUAUUGCAUGAUGCAGAACGAUUGGCCUACCAAACUCCGCUUCUUAGCGUGUUGGUCCAAUACAGAACGGUGGCUAUCUGGGAGAUAAAAAAAAGUUACGUCGAACUACCAUCAACCCAGGAAACCAUGUUUGAAACCGUCCAGAAACACCGAUGCAGCUUUGAAACUACCUCGCCGGACAAAGUUUUUUUUAUAUACAUAUAUACAAUAAUGGGAAAAUUUUACUAUAUAC